rnacentral:rRNA from 1 species
UACGUAGGGGGCAAGCGUUGUCCGGAUUUAUUGGGCGUAAAGAGCGUGUAGGCGGCUUUACAGGUCCGUUGUGAAAACUCGAGGCUCAACCUCGAGACGCCGGUGGAAACCGUAAGGCUAGAGUCCGGAAGAGGAGAGUGGAAUUCCUGGUGUAGCGGUGAAAUGCGCAGAUAUCAGGAGGAACGCCCGUGGCGAAAGCGGCUCUCUGGGACGGUACUGACGCUGAGACGCGAAAGCGUGGGGAGCAAACAGG